UCCUGGCUCAGGACGAACGCUGGCGGCGCGCCUAACACAUGCAAGUCGAACGAGAGAUGAGGAGCUUGCUCUUCAAAUCGAGUGGCGAACGGGUGAGUAACGCGUGAGGAACCUGCCUCAAAGAGGGGGACAACAGUUGGAAACGACUGCUAAUACCGCAUAAGCCCACGGCUCGGCAUCGAGCAGAGGGAAAAGGAGUGAUCCGCUUUGAGAUGGCCUCGCGUCCGAUUAGCUGGUUGGUGAGGUAGCGGCCCACCAAGGCGACGAUCGGUAGCCGGACUGAGAGGUUGAACGGCCACAUUGGGACUGAGACACGGCCCAGACUCCUACGGGAGGCAGCAGUGGGGAAUAUUGCACAAUGGGGGAAACCCUGAUGCAGCGACGCCGCGUGGAGGAAGAAGGUCUUCGGAUUGUAAACUCCUGUUGUUGAGGAAGAUAAUGACGGUACUCAACAAGGAAGUGACGGCUAACUACGUGCCAGCAGCCGCGGUAAAACGUAGGUCACAAGCGUUGUCCGGAAUUACUGGGUGUAAAGGGAGCGCAGGCGGGAGAACAAGUUGGAAGUGAAAUCCAUGGGCCCAACCCAUGAACUGCUUUCAAAACUGUUUUUCUUGAGUAGUGCAGAGGUAGGCGGAAUUCCCGGUGUAGCGGUGGAAUGCGUAGAUAUCGGGAGGAACACCAGUGGCGAAGGCGGCCUACUGGGCACCAACUGACGCUGAGGCUCGAAAGUGUGGGUAGCAAACAGGAUUAGAUACCCUGGUAGUCCACACCGUAAACGAUGAUUACUAGGUGUUGGAGGAUUGACCCCUUCAGUGCCGCAGUUAACACAAUAAGUAAUCCACCUGGGGAGUACGACCGCAAGGUUGAAACUCAAAGGAA
rnacentral:rRNA from 1 species